rnacentral:rRNA from 1 species
UGCGUAGGCGGCUAAUCAAGUCAGAUGUGAAAGGCUAUGGCUCAACCAUAGUAAGCAUUUGAAACUGAUCGGCUUGAGUGCAGGAGAGGAAAGUGGAAUUCCUAGUGUAGCGGUGAAAUGCGUAGAUAUUAGGAGGAACACCAGUGGCGAAGGCGACUUUCUGGACUGUAACUGACGCUGAGGCACGAAAGCGUGGGGAGCGAACA